rnacentral:lncRNA from 1 species
UGCUUUGGCGCGACCACUUUUCUUCUUUGUGGGCCGGCGUUUGCGUGUUUUUCUUUUUACACAACCGGGAAUAUCGGAGUAACAUUGUCUUUCUCUGUUUCCCUAGAUUUGCCAGGUAAUAUAUGGGAUGGUCAGUUAAAUUUGAAUUUCAGAUAAACAAGGAAUCAUUUUUUAGUAUAGGUAUUUCCUAAAUAUUGCAUUUGCUAAAUCUGGCAACCUUGUUUGGUCCGACAUCCCACUAUUCUCUUACCACCUCGAACUCAGUACCACGCUCCACUCUCUCCGUUUUCCCUCUGCGUAUUCUUAUCUUCACUCCCCUGUGCACCAGCGCUUAGGGUAGAUUAAGCUACAGAUAUUAAUUUCCCUGGGGACGAGGUUUCAUCCGUGAGAUUCACUGCCUGUUCCUCUUGUAAGCGCUUUUACUUGGCUGCUAGUUUUCUUUCGCGCAAACCUUAGGGCAGUUUCUCUGGUCUGUUGCUCUUGGAACAGUUUUACACGCACACAUCUUUACUAAUUUGCUUCUCUUUACAGCUCUUCCCUUUGGUUUCUGCGAAGUCCCUAAUUAUUACAAAACAGCUAGAUUGGCUGAGGGAUGGUACAGUGAAAAUGUAUGUAGAGAAGUCCGUGUUUAAAGACAAGUUUGUAUUCUUUUGUCACCUCCUGUAACCCAGGCCCUCCAGGGCCCGUUCAACUAACCCCAUCUCUUAUCAACAGAGUGAUUAAGAAUUAUCUUUCAGAAAAUCUGCAAAGUCGUAUAGCCACAGCACGCGCAAAAGAAGAAAUCUUGAACUGAAGUGAUCGGGGAACCAAGGAUCCUCCUUCCCGCGGACCAGGACAGGCCAGAACUUGAAAGUUUCCAAGGAAGAGGAUGCUUGAGCUGAGUUAUUUAAAGAAGAAUAAAGUUUCCAAUUGAAGAGGUUGAAGAAAAUUCCAUGUAAAGGAAAUAGAAUGUUUAAAAGCAGGAAGACAUAAGAAAAUAUUUCCAGGCUCAGGAGUCUGGGGAGUGUGUGGCAGAGUAAUAGGAGAUGAGCCUGGGUAUUUACCCAAGAGAAACAAAAAUACUUGUCCACUAAAAGUUUUAGAAGAGGGGCCGGCCCCAUGGCCCAGUGGUUAAAUUUGUGCACUCUGCUUCAGCAGCCCAGGGUUUUGCCAGUUCAGAUCUUGGGUGUGGACAUGGCACCACUCAUCAAGUCAUGCUGAGGUGGCGUCCUACGUAGCAGAACCAGAAGUACCUACAACUAGAAUAUACAACUACGUACUGGGAGUGCUUUGGGGAGAAGAAGAAAAAAAAACAACAGAUGGCAACAGAUGGCAACAGAUGUUAGCU